AUUGAACGCUGGCGGCAUGCCUUACACAUGCAAGUCGAACGGUAACAGGCCGCAAGGUGCUGACGAGUGGCGAACGGGUGAGUAAUGCAUCGGAACGUGCCCAGUCGUGGGGGAUAACUGCUCGAAAGAGCAGCUAAUACCGCAUACGACCUGAGGGUGAAAGCGGGGGACCGUAAGGCCUCGCGCGAUUGGAGCGGCCGAUGUCAGAUUAGCUAGUUGGUGGGGUAAAUGCCUACCAAGGCAACGAUCUGUAGUUGGUCUGAGAGGACGACCAGCCACACUGGGACUGAGACACGGCCCAGACUGCUAAGGGAGGCAGCAGUGGGGAAUUUUGGACAAUGGGCGCAAGCCUGAUCCAGCAAUGCCGCGUGCAGGAAGAAGGCCUUCGGGUUGUAAACUGCUUUUGUCAGGGAAGAAAUCUUCUGGGCUAAUACCCCGGGAGGAUGACGGUACCUGAAGAAUAAGCACCGGCUAACUACGUGCCAGCAGCCGCGGUAAUAC
rnacentral:rRNA from 1 species